rnacentral:rRNA from 1 species
CGGAUGGAAGAGAGUUCAGCUUAGUGGCGAACGGGUGAGUAACACGUGAGCAACCUGCCUUUCAGUGGGGGACAACAUUUGGAAACGAAUGCUAAUACCGCAUAAGACCACAGUAUCGCAUGGCACAGGGGUCAAAGGAUUUAUCCGCUGAAAGAUGGGCUCGCGUCCGAUUAGCUAGAUGGUGAGGUAACGGCCCACCAUGGCGACGAUCGGUAGCCGGACUGAGAGGUUGAACGGCCACAUUGGGACUGAGACACGGCCCAGACUCCUACGGGAGGCAGCAGUGGGGAAUAUUGCACAAUGGGGGAAACCCUGAUGCAGCGACGCCGCGUGGAGGAAGAAGGUCUUCGGAUCGUAAACUCCUGUCCCAGGGGACGAUAAUGACGGUACCCUGGGAGGAAGCACCGGCUAACUACGUGCCAGCAGCCGCGGUAAAACGUAGGGUGCAAGCGUUGUCCGGAAUUACUGGGUGUAAAGGGAGCGCAGGCGGAUUGGCAGGUUGGGAGUGAAAUCUAUGGGCUCAACCCAUAAAUUGCUUUCAAAACUGUCAGUCUUGAGUGGUGUAGAGGUAGGCGGAAUUCCCGGUGUAGCGGUGGAAUGCGUAGAUAUCGGGAGGAACACCAGUGGCGAAGGCGGCCUACUGGGCACUAACUGACGCUG